rnacentral:other from 13 species
AUAGGACGCCUCUUAGAUGACAGGGUGUGAAGAGCCUACUGAGCUGGGUAGUAGUCUCCGGCCCCUGAAUGCGGCUAAUCCUAACCACGGAGCGUCCACCAGCAAUCCAGCUGGCAGGGCGUCGUAACGGGCAACUCUGUGGCGGAACCGACUACUUUGGGUGUCCGUGUUUCCUUUUGAUCCUAUUUUGGCUGCUUAUGGUGACAACGAUAAGUUGUUAUCAUAAAGCUCUUGGGUUGGCCACCUGGAA